AAUGCAGGAAUUCUUAGUGAGCGUUGGCGGCCAUAUUUAUUUUCGCGUUCUUCUACUCGCUUGGUGACCAGACCUGCAUGUGCGAUGCUCGUCACGGACGAUAAUUGUACACAGAAGGUGAACGAACCACAAGAGGAGUAGUGACCAACAAGUAUCAACAUUAAAUUUAGAUGAAUGGACUAACAUUAAAUGCGCAUGUUUACUUAAGUGAAAAAAAAAACAAAAAACUUCGACAACAAUAAAUCAAUGCCAAAAUA